rnacentral:rRNA from 1 species
UACGAAGGGGGGCUAGCGUUGCUCGGAAUUACUGGGCGUAAAGCGCACGUAGGCGGAUAUUUAAGUCGGGGGGUGAAAUCCCGGGGCUCAACCCCGGAACUGCCUUCGAUACUGGGUAUCUUGAGUUCGGAAGAGGUGAGUGGAAUUGCGAGUGUAGAGGUGAAAUUCGUAGAUAUUCGCAGGAACACCAGUGGCGAAGGCGGCUCACUGGUCCGAUACUGACGCUGAGGUGCGAAAGCGUGGGGAGCAAACAGG